rnacentral:lncRNA from 1 species
AUGUCCGCAGUGCAAAACGUCGCAUCUCUUAAGGCAAUUAGUGUCUGUCCGAAUUCUUGGGGAAGCUGAGGAAACCAGGGCUGUGACUGUAAUAUUCUGCUGUACCUAUGAUCUGUGCCCAUGAUGCUCUGCUGUAUCCAUGAUGCUGUGCCCAUGAUGCCAUGUCAUGCUCUCUGUACCUUGCCAUGCCUGUGACACUAUGCCCUCUCCCUGGGAUUCUGCAGUCUUCCUGGCUGCUCUAGAAGCCAGGGAGAUUCCACCCCAUGUAAAAUGCUCCUGGGGUGGCCUGCUGACCUGGAUUCUCCUCUCAACAUCUUGAGCCCAACCACCUCUGCUGUCAAACUACACAUGGCCCAGGUGACUUCUCUCACAAAUGGGAGAGGGAAUCAGAGCAUUUCAUAGUCAGAGCAGAGGCCCUGGGGAGAUGCCCAUCUGCAGCAGACUUGGGACAACUGAUCCAAUUCAAGUCCAUCAUUGUGCAGAGUGGGAUUGUGAGCCUCAGAGUGGAGAGAAGAUUCAUCCAACUGUGGGUUCGGUGCCAGCCAGAGUGGGACUCCACCCUGACUCCCAGUUCAGAGCUCAUUUUGGUGG